GUCCCAGGCUCCGGCCUCCACUUCCGUCUUUCAGCCGCUCCGGAUCCGGAUCUCUACCUCCGCCCCGCCCCUCAAUACUCCCAGGUGAUUGACAGGGCGGAGAAACCAAUGGGAGGCACUCUUGGCCGACCUACCCAGCGGCGCCGGGACACUACUGAAAACCUGUGUGGAAUCAAAGCUCACCGGGGACAGCUGUGGCCACUGUGCCUCUAACACUGGCCAACACCAGACAUAUCUUGGAGCCUCAGCUGGAGAAUUUACCUGCCUUGGACAACCUGCCACAAAACUGUGCCCACAUCUAGUUCCAUCUAGUCACCAGGGCGUCUCUUUCUUACGUCCGUAACACACAAGACCCCCUUCCACGCCAGUGAUCAUGAGAAGUGAAAAGGAAGAGGGAAGAGAGGGCUUGUUGGGAGGACAGAGGGGAUGGGGCAGAGAGGGAUUCCUAGCAGGUUCUGGCUGGUGACAAGCUCUUCCCCCAGCCCCCUUGCCAUACCCAGCUCUUGAACAGUUCCUUAUAUGGGAGGGAUGGGUAGUCCCCUGGGCCCACCUUUCCAAGGCUGGAGGUGGGCCAAAGUCAGGACUCUAUCCUUUCCACAUACUGUGUGUGUAUAUGGCUGUGACUGGUGUGCAGGGGAGAGAAGCGGGUAUAAUAGGCCCAUAGUGACUAAUUAAGUUUUUCCCUCAUCCCUGGGGCCCCUGGUGGUGUGAAUGUGGUGCCAAGUAGAUUGGCUGGUGCCUCUGCCCUUCCUAAAGAUAGCAACAGGGCUCUGGGGUGCAGCGGGGGUGAGGGUGGGGAAUGAUUGCUGUGUUGGCUCCUCCAAAGCCCUGGGGCUCUCAGACUAACCCCCAGAAACACCCAGAGCCAACAACUACAAAAAUAAAGAGUUUAUUUCCUAUCCAAAA